CUGGCGGCGUGCCUAAUACAUGCAAGUAGAACGCUGAAGGAGGAGCUUGCUUCUCUGGAUGAGUUGCGAACGGGUGAGUAACGCGUAGGUAACCUGCCUGGUAGCGGGGGAUAACUAUUGGAAACGAUAGCUAAUACCGCAUAAGAGUAGAUGUUGCAUGACAUUUGCUUAAAAGGUGCAAUUGCAUCACUACCAGAUGGACCUGCGUUGUAUUAGCUAGUUGGUGAGGUAACGGCUCACCAAGGCGACGAUACAUAGCCGACCUGAGAGGGUGAUCGGCCACACUGGGACUGAGACACGGCCCAGACUCCUACGGGAGGCAGCAGUAGGGAAUCUUCGGCAAUGGACGGAAGUCUGACCGAGCAACGCCGCGUGAGUGAAGAAGGUUUUCGGAUCGUAAAGCUCUGUUGUAAGAGAAGAACGAGUGUGAGAGUGGAAAGUUCACACUGUGACGGUAUCUUACCAGAAAGGGACGGCUAACUACGUGCCAGCAGCCGCGGU
rnacentral:rRNA from 1 species